rnacentral:tRNA from 1 species
GGACCGGGGGUGUUUGAGGGGUCGCCAGCCUGUCGAGCUGGAGGUCGCGGGUUCAAUUCCCGUCGGGA